rnacentral:lncRNA from 1 species
GCACCUUGAAAAGCAUUGCAUCAAAGAUGUCCGAUCUCAUUGCUUGCUUGACCAUCCGUUUCCAGGAUAUAAGUUUGCCGCUGCCUGAACAGGAUAGGAUUAGGGUUUAGGGUUUAGGGUUUAGGCGGUAGUGCCAGCCCCAGUAUAAGUUUGAUCUUGCUCCCAAACCACCUCCGAUUCACGUCGCAAGUACUACCUGUGACUGUGACUGGGUUCCAGAUUUUGUGCCAUCUCCAAGGUCCCGCUCCCGCCACACCAGCACCAGCCGUGUGGUGAUGGAUGGAUGGGAUUCCUGGUUCCCGACUUGGGCCAAAAGUGUGGGCCUCCACGCGGCCCUAUAGUGACGAGUAGCAGCAGCAGCGCAAUGCCACAACGAGGACGAUGACCGACCGACCGACCGAUCUGUCGGCCCGAUCCGAGCUGCAACUGCAACUGACCUGGAGCCUGGAACCAAAUCAAAUCCUAAAUAUGGACCCCCAUUGUCUAUUUGCUGUAUUAAGGUGGUGCUUGGUUACCAGGAGAUUUUUAGAAUCCAGAUAAACAAUCUAAGCAUGUUUCAUUAGAUUUCAUAUCUGUGUGUCAAAAUCCAACACAACCAAACCCGUUCGGAUGGGAUUUUAUUUAGGUUUUUAAGAUUUUUCUAUUUAUCCAGAUUCUUAAAAUGUACUAGUAACCAAACGGGAUACUAGUAUUUGCCAUGCGACGUCUAUACCAGUGAUAUAUACUCUCUCACUCACUCCUGGAAGCGCCGGUUAAAAUUUUAAAGUUUAAUUAACUUUAUAAAAAAGAGCAUC